rnacentral:rRNA from 1 species
UUGGGAAUCUUGGACAAUGGGGGAAACCCUGAUCCAGCCAUGCCGCGUGAGUGAUGAAGGCCUUCGGGUUGUAAAACUCUUUCGCGCACGACGAUAAUGACGGUAGUGCGAGAAGAAGCUCCGGCUAACUUCGUGCCAGCAGCCGCGGUAAUACGAAGGGGGCUAGCGUUGUUCGGAAUUACUGGGCGUAAAGCGCGCGCAGGCGGUCUUCCAAGUCAGUGGUGAAAGCCCGGAGCUCAACUCCGGAACUGCCAUUGAAACUGUUAGACUUGAGUAUGAGAGAGGUGAGUGGAAUUCCCAGUGUAGAGGUGAAAUUCGUAGAUAUUGGGAAGAACACCGGUGGCGAAGGCGGCUCACUGGCUCAUUACUGACGCUCAGGCGCGACAGCGUGGGGAUCAAACAGGAUUAGAUACCCCCGUAGUCC